rnacentral:hammerhead_ribozyme from 1 species
UCACUACUGAAGAGUCCCACAAUAAGACGAAACGGCCGUUUAGUGC